UGUACCGAAAAAACAUUCGUCGGGCAGCGUCAUAAAGGGCUUUCAUUGCAUAAUUUGUUUAUAGUUAAUCAAAAGUGCAGUAAAAUUCAACACCCGAAGUGCUAGUGCUUGUGGCGAAGCCCCGCGAGAUCCCGAAAUUGCCGGAAUCCGAGAUAUUUGGCGUUUAGGCGGUCAAUUCACGAUUCGAAGCUACUGUCAGUGUGAUUCUUGUUUACGGAAAUAUUUGCGCAAUGGAAAUGUGGAAAUUUCUCAGUUUUAUCGAGACGAUGCGAUGAAAAAGUGCUACCGGCGUGCUUAAAUGGUGUUCCCGGAUCAUUCAACACGCAGUGGAAAUAGGAUUGCGGCCGCGGCAUUCCCCAUGGAAAUAAGCGCGAAAUCGAUUUUUAGCAGAAAGUCAGUGUGAGCCAGAGUGUCGGCGGCGACGGCGAAGACUACGAGACGAAGCAACAACGAUAACCCAAACAAAUUGAAGGAGUCGUGCGUGAUUUGAGUACGGCGCCGAGGUUGGAUUCAGACAGACAUUGCAGAAACAUUAAUCUAAGAAAUGUCGGGCUACCGGUGCGUGAACUACUACGACCUGUGUCGCCUGUGCACGAGCAGUACCGGCUCCAAGAUCAACAUAUUCUCCCAGGAGGGACGCAAGAAGAACCUGCACCAGAAGAUCAUCGAGAGUUUGCCAGUUAUGAUUGACGAAAAAGAUAAACUUCCCAAAAACCUAUGUGGAUCAUGUUUGCAACAGGUCGAGGCUAUCAACGAAUUCCGCACAAUUUCGUUAAAUUCCCAAACAAUGCUCGAAGGGUGUUUGAACUCAGCAACACUACAGAAUGGUGGAAAGGUUUAUAUUAAAGACGCCAAUUCAAAGAUAACCCAAGUGACACAUAUUGAUACCAUCAAACAGGAAUCCGUUCAAAAUGUAACACAAGGAAACGAUUUUCUAAGUACAAUAAUUCAAGCGGUUGGAAUACAGAACAGCGAUGAUGUCACAGAAACUAGACAACAAUAUCCACAAUAUACGGUGACAUUGGAUGGAAAGACUUUAAAGGCUGGGCAAAUAAGCUAUAAAGUAGAAGAACCUGUUCAGACAACUACAACUACUUCACAUUCCGAUAAACAGGCUAAACAUAACUCACUAGCUGAAUUCUUGAAGAUGAAACCAAACAUCAAAGUCACGCCUAUCUCCAAGAAAAAAGACCCACCCGCACCGCAACCCGUACAAAUUCAACAACCACAAACUAUCCGGCUUGCAACAACAACGCAGGACACGUCAAAGCAAAUAAAAAAACCGAAAUAUAAUAUCGUGCUUACUUCAUCGCCAGCCCAGCCAAAAACCCAAAUUAUUCCAAUGCAAACAACUAAUCAGCAAAACACGCCGAAAACUGUAUCGAUACAGGAUGUGAAAUUCCUCCCCUCAAAUAAAUGUUACGUACCAAUUACGAUCAAAGAUUGUAAUUCGGAUCAGCAAAUAGUGGCACAAAUUGACACAAAGAACUUGGUCUUGCCAACAACGUAUCAUUUACAAAUGAAGCCACAAAUUACCACCGUUGACGGCCAACAAAUUGUUCAAUUGACUCCAGCCGGCCUACCCGCAUCUAUCUCUCUUGCACCUCAACAGUCUCAACAACAACAUCAGCAGCAGCAUCAAACACAAAACUUCCAGCAACAACAGGACCAAACGAUAACGCAUGUGCUGAAUAGUAUGGACGCUUCAACAUCCACAAACGAAGAAAUUAUCUAUACAACUCUUGCGAAUCACCAGCAACCAGCUAGUAUAACCAUCCAACAAGUCGCGUCACAACCGCAAAACGUUCAGACAAUGCAAACCAUGCCCAAGUUACAAAUUACCACCAUUCCCAACACGGUGACUACUUCGUCACAUGGAACCACCGUCACCCAUAAACCCUUAAGUGCAAUAACGGUUCAUAGAAUCAAUAAUCAAAAUGUGAAAAUCAAAACGGAGCCCGGUGUGCAAGUCCAAACUACGACCCAACAACACCAGCAAGUGCAACUGCAAACGCAACAACACCAACAGAAGACUCAAGCUCAAAAAGUUAAAGUUGUAACUGGAAACGCCACAACUACAAUUAUGAAACAAGAAGACGUUACGAAUGCAAAUCAACAGAAUCCAUCGAAUGAAUGUAGUACUUGCGGCAAAUCCUUCAAGAAGAAAGAACAUUUAGCACAACAUAUGAAACUUCACGCUGGCUUGAGGCCGUUCAAAUGUACGGAAGGAGACUGUAACAAAGCGUUUAGUCGAAAAGAGCAUCUAAUGCGACAUAUUGUUUCGCACACGGGCAAAAAGAUGUUCAGUUGUGAUUUAUGUCAAAAGUUCUUCUCGCGUAAGGAUAAUCUUAAUAAGCAUAAACGGACUCACACUGAGCAAGGAGGCAAUAGUGGGCAGUUUGUAUGCGAAAUUUGUAAUAAAAGUUUCGUCGUGAAAAUGUAUUAUAUUCAACACAAAAUAAUGCACGAGAAAAAUGGACAAACAGCCGCAAAUAGCAAUAAAGUGAAGAAGAUUAACAAUGCGUCACCGCAAAUUAAAAAUGAACCAAUCACGGAAGAAACGAAUAAUCACACACAGAUUAUAACGACGACAAUGCAGCAGCAACCGCAGCAACAAGAGUUACAGCAACAUCAACCGCAACAGCAACAAAUCAUGCAAUUACAAAUUUCGUCGCCCAUGAUUACAGCGGCUGAUUUACAAAAUUCGGUAACAAUCAGUCAAUCGGGUGAUCAACAGACAGCCACAACAACUGUUCUAAAAACGUUGGGAACUCAUGAUGCCACCGUCUUGAAUUUGCCAUCCAAUCUUGCAAACCUUGUUUCAAUUAACCCGCAACAGUUCAUGACAACCGGUGAAAUUAUGGGACAAUUGAAAAUGGAAAAAUGAAAUGAAAUGGCAAGACAAGAUGGAGAAACCGAAUUAGACUCGGAUUCGGGAUCAAAAGUUUAUCGAAUAUUAAGUAUUGACUCAUGGAAGAACUUUAUGUCGUUGUUGGCGAUUUACGAAAGAAAAAGCAUUCGAUCACAUGCCCUUCGAUUUACUGGAGUUUAACUAGGUAUUCGGUAUUGGAAAAAGUUGUAUCGUUCACACUGUACUAGUGUGACUAACAAGAAACCACUCUCCUUACCAAAAUUACCUCUACUGACAAGGGAAAAUCGAGGGAAGUACGUGCUCAAAAUUACUUUUUAAGAGACUCGUUGUCGACCAAAUGCAAAGCUCUGUAAUGCACUUACUAAUACUGUUAACAUUUUUCAACAUUGCAAUUGUGAUGCUGCAAUGUUUGGGCGUUAUUAUCAUGAUUGGAUUUUUCAGUUCAUACCAAUGGUUUGGACUUGUGCAAACGAAAUACUAUGAUGCAACGAAGAAAAGCCAGAUUCUGGCUCCAUUUGCAAAGCAAUAUUUACUGCAGGGACAGUUUCGCGUGAUCCAAAAGUUGUAAUAACAAGCGACUUGAAUUUCGUGCCAUAUGCACUGUGUACAAUAUAUCGAACAAACGGGAAAGCAACGUUCAGCAUGACAACGCUAAUGACACCAACGACCCUCUAAAUUCUUCUACCCUGUGACUUUCUGAUGUGGUUUAUUUCGUGGUAUUUAUUAGUUUCUAUUUAUAAAUUUCUUAUUAAGAGAGAAAUAGGUUUUUAUUGAAAACAUAGCAUUCUUACACUAGAUUUAGUAUUUAAAAAUGUGUUUUGUCACAACCUUCUAUCCACUUAAGACUUUGUACAUAAUUUGUAAUAAGUAUUUAAUAUCAUAUUUCCAUGAAAGUGAAUAAAUUGUAAAUAGUCAAUUCCCAGCAGUGCAGAAUUAAUUGAAAUCUCUCAUAUAAUGAAGCAAUCAAAUUGAAAUCUAGCUUAGAAAGUUUAUACCAAAGUAAAUUAAAGAGAGAGAGAAGGAACAGUACGACGUGGAAGUUGAUUUAUUUCUUCUCGUAUUGUCAUAUAUAUAUGAUGAUUUUUAUACUUUUAUACUUUUUAGCUAAUUGGCUAUUCGGUUGCUGCAACUGACCCGCUUGUUAGCAUAGAAUGCACUCAUUUUCGAAAAAUGAGGUAAGUUGAGAUAAUGCAAUCCAAUUCACUACGAUCUCUAAAUACACUUGAACUGAAUGAAUUUUGAAGCUUGUGUCUCUCUAGACUUGUUUUAGUUCAAUUGACAAAUUGUAGUUUUAAGUAAACUAGAAAAUUUUCAAGCGAAGAUUUGUUGCCAAGUGAAGUAAGUUUUUGUAUUUGAAAGGGUGAUUUUGCAAUUAUGUUAGUUUAUUCGAAAAAAAUGUCAAAUCAUGUUUCUCUAAAUUUAUCAAUUCCCAAUUAUGAGGUUUUUGUGUUGAUGAUCAUAGAUCCGAGGUGUACUUAUAUAAAAAAGAGACAAAAAAUAUAAGAGGAAGAGGGUUCCACAGAACGCUACAGAAAUUUCACAAAUUAUAACUCAUUAUUUUGCACGAUGAUACUUUCCUUUUCAGCCCUGUACGAACAUUGACAAAACGUUACUCAAAGCGUAUGAUUCAAUAGCUUUCUUCUUGAAUUUGGUUUCAUUUGGGAAUGAAUCCAUACUUCGACGUGGUUUCGCAAUAUCCGAGUGCAAUUUUUUAAACGAAUAGACAGACGGUCGAGAAAACAGCAAUCUCUUGCUUUACGAAUCUAUUAUUUCUAGCAGUUUGCAGGAACGUAAUAACUAAAUAUUCGUUUUUAAGGUUUUAUAUAAAACAGAACUUUAUUAAUUUUCAUGGAUUUGUAGAAACUAUAAAAUCUGAACAAUCUAAAACUCCAUAGAUUCCGCAUAAAUGCCACCUUCGGCGGUUCCUUCGUCAUUAUGUAAGCCAGCUGGCUUACAAUAGUACACAGGUUCGUUAGCCAAUACUUCGACAGCUGCGUUAUGGCAAUACAAAAAUUAAGAGAUUCUGCAAUUUGCCUGGAUGCGUCAUGUGCGGCCGCAUAUUCGGAUUCAGUUGUAGACAUUACAACCAGGCAAUUAAUCUCCCGUCCAUUCAUCAUCAAAACAAGCCGGUUAAUAAGUAUUCUACAUUAGGUACGAGCCUUACAGAAUUUUCCCGAUAGUGAUUUCCAAUGUUGCUUGGAUGUUGCGCCCGGAUAUGUCAAUCUUGCUAUAAAAGCAAAAUCAGGUCGGGUUCCCACCGACAAAUACAUUGGACCGCCGAUGAGUUGCCAAUUCGGGACGUUUGCCACUUUAUUUCCAUUUGCGGACUACAAUUUUUCAAUGGAGAAUUUCUUACCACGUUAUUUUUGUAUGAUAUUUGACUGUUUCAAUUCCGAGAUGGCAUGAUUCUUCAACGCAAGUGAUUCAAACUCCACUAGCAUAGUCUCCCGACAAUUUCAUGACUCGUUCCUUGGAAAUUUACUAUUACUAGAAGGAUGAAAAGCUAUCAUAUCAUCUUCCAACGAUUCUCUUCCCCAAUGAAACAACCAAUUUUUUAUUGCUGCAUAUUAAGGACAAUCGGCAGGCACCUUUUCUUCUAUUUGCGCUAUGGUAAGACCUUCCUAAGUCAAGAACUGAUGUUGUUGUUAAUCACCUCCAAACACUUUCUUGGAGUAAAAAAGUUGGGCAUUGCUUCAACUACGAGGGAUGUCCCAGAUGUACCCUUCCUAAAUGUAUGUUGUGUAAAACAAACGCUUAUUAAAAUCGGUUUACUGUCUGUCUGUCCAUCACAUGCAUUUUUCUCGAAGAUUGUUGCAGCGAUUGAUACCAAAUUUGGUGGAAAAGUGGAACUGUGAACGCUCGCGAAUACAGUGAGUCACAUCGUUUUACGUCCUCAUACAUGCGAAAGCGGGGUGUACUUUCCAUACCGAUAUCCCUACAAAUAAAGUUAAUAAUAGUAUAUCACUAUCAUUUUUAGUAACUGGCUGCUAAACCCCCCUUAAGUCCAUCUUACCAACACGAAAAUUUUACAGUGAUGUAGACUAUAACAUAGAGCAUGAU
rnacentral:misc_RNA from 1 species